CCCCCCCCCCCCCCCCCCCCCCCCCCCCCUCUACAUUUCCUGCUGUGUUUAAGGUUGUUAACCCUGUAAAUGCUGGAUGUAAUAUGACGACAUGGACCUAGAGAAUGCUCGGACGUUCUGCCUUGUUGUAUUCCAGACUUGGAGUUUCAGUCUCAGCCAUAAUAUGUCUGUCCAGUGGAUUUAAUGACAUCCAGAUUUGAACUGUGUUUGUGUCCUGGUGUUUAGAGAAAAGUAUCUUAUCCAUGGUUGAUCUGAGUAGGAAUCUAAAGGUUACUUUUGCAGAACUGUUGAGAAGAGGGGAAAACAAUUGACAUGUCACAUGAGAUGUGAAAAUGCUUGGCAUAUCUUUCCUCUGUUGCUGAAGUCCUUUUGCUUUUGGUUAUCCACCCAUUCAACAACCCCAACCUCCCUUCCUGUGUGGUAUGUUCACAAUGUAAAAAGCGAAAAUGUACUGAUGCUCUUAACAAUUAAAGGGCGCUGGUUAUGUGUGUGUGUGUCGUUAAGUGGGACAGACGUGUCAUGUCAAAGUCACCCCUGUCAGCCACGGCCUCGCAGCCCCUCCCAGCCCCUCCCAGCCCCCCCCAGCCCCCAGGCCUGGCCUGCAUGCCUGGCUGACAGCUUGCAGGUGUGCUGAGACCAUAAACAUGUUGUACCUGAGAGGGGGUGGAUGAAACAAGACUGUCAACCAUUCCCUUAAGACAGCCAAUUAUCAGUUAACAUGCAGAUCCAGUAGUGGGUAUUUUGAGUAUUAAAGCUGGUAAUGUUGUUUGCUCUGUUAACAGAAGACCAUCGUAUUGUACAUAAGGCUGUUUAGAGCAGACCAUUGUUUUGCCGUUUCUGUAGCAUAUUGACUCUCUUGGCUUACUCUGUGUGAAGACUAACUUUCAGUACAUUGACUAUGGAACACUUGCAGGACUGAGUUCUAUAAACAAACCUCAGUGACCAUCACCUCUGAAGAGGGUGGGGUUUCUAUCAUUACAAUCCACUUAGGCUUACACAACCCAACAUGCUGUUUCUAACAAGUAGGACAAUGUUUUAUAUUGGACUGGAAAAAUGUUUGGCAAACAUUACUCUGCAAACCUAGGUCAGAUUAUCUAUUCCUCCUCUUGCCAACAUUCAGCUGUUUUGCAUGGGAGGCGUGUUAGUGUCAACACUGCACCAGGUGCAACAGACUACAUAAAGAAGGACUGUCGGUGAGUUGCAGUGCUUAUUACAGUACAGCCAGUGCUACCAGUGUAAAUAUCACAUAGCAGACCUGCAGCAUUUGUUGUGGUUUGAGGGAGUGGCACUGUACUUUGACAAACACGCUAUGAACUGUACCCUCAGUGCACUAACAAUAGAAUAUCAACCUCAAAUACAGGUCAAUGCUGGGAGGAAUACGUGCUGUGUGAAGGAGAGAGAUGGCAGGUAGACUGGAGGUCAGAUUUGGGAGAUGGUGAAGAUGACGCCAAGCGGCCACGCCCUUUCGGAAACCAAACUGGCUUUAAUCUUGUCAGGGAUAAUGCCAUCAACUACCUCCGCUUAACACUGGACACAUCCUCCAUCAACUCAACACUUUUAGCUAUUUACUUUGUUUACGAUGAAAAAGGGUGUCUUACUGAUAGAUUGAUUACAUGAUAGAAACUAUUCAGUACAUUCUUUAUAUGAUUAGGAAUUAGUAGUGUUUUGAAUAUGAAACAAUUAUCAUGUAGCCUUAAAAAUAGUUAGUAAUUUUCUAUUGAUUCUAUUCAAGUUUUAAUACUUUUUCAUACAGUAGCAUGUUAACUAUACAACCUUCCAUUGUCAACAAGAGUAAGUCAGAUCAGAAACUAUCAUUUACCUCCUGUUUUAUGAAUCAGAGAUUUAGUCUUACCGUUCGUAUUCAAGAAAACCAUGACGAUUUGAGUAAAUAACAAAUUACGUUGACAGUUGUAUUUCACUUGGAAUAGGUUUUCAUGCUAUUAUCUGUUUUUCAUAUAUUUAAAUUUUGAUGAAGGAUAUAUAAUAGGGAACAUUUUAACAUUUUUGAAAAAUCGGUCCACCGCUCAGUCGAUGAAGUGUAAUGGUUUACAUAACUGCUGAUUCUAACCAUGUCAGUCAACUUCCAAACACUGAGUGCGUACACAAACUGCCAGUUCUUCAAACAAAUAUCAGUGUGGAACCUCCCCUCUCAAUUGAUUUGAAUAAUUUUUAAAAGGCCUGAUUGAUUACCAAGUGUUUAAGAAUGAUUUCUUUCAACAGGAUAUUUACCCCAUAUUUGUCUUUGUUUUAAUAACAUUAAAAGACACUUUGGAGAAUAAACGUCA